rnacentral:rRNA from 1 species
CAGUCGCCGCGGUAAUACGAAGGGGGCUAGCGUUGCUCGGAAUGACUGGGCGUAAAGGGCGCGUAGGCGGCGGCCAAAGUCAGGCGUGAAAUUCCCGGGCUCAACCUGGGGGCUGCGUUUGAUACUUGGUUGCUUGGGUGGGGAAGAGGGUCGUGGAAUUCCCAGUGUAGAGGUGAAAUUCGUAGAUAUUGGGAAGAACACCGGUGGCGAAGGCGGCGACCUGGUCCUUUACUGACGCUGAGGCGCGAAAGCGUGGGAGCAAACAGGAUUAGAGACCCCGGUAGUCCCUGUCUCUUAUACA